rnacentral:rRNA from 1 species
UACGUAGGGUGCAAGCGUUAAUCGGAAUUACUGGGCGUAAAGCGUGCGCAGGCGGUAAUGUAAGACAGGUGUGAAAUCCCCGGGCUUAACCUGGGAACUGCAUUUGUGACUGCAUUGCUGGAGUGCGGCAGAGGGGGAUGGAAUUCCGCGUGUAGCAGUGAAAUGCGUAGAUAUGCGGAGGAACACCGAUGGCGAAGGCAAUCCCCUGGGCCUGUACUGACGCUCAUGCACGAAAGCGUGGGGAGCAAACAGG